rnacentral:lncRNA from 1 species
AUAAGAAUGUUCUAAAAACCAGUAGGUUGCACAUUUUUAAAGGGUGAAUUUAACAGUAUGGGAAAUAUAUCUCCAUAAAAUGAUUGAAGAGGAUAAAAAGAAAAUUUCAUGUUCAUUUUUUUUUAAUUCUAUGAGCAGGAACCAAAACUGAAGUUUGGAUACCUACAGGGAAAGGUUGAGAACAGAUUGGAAAGAACUGGCAAGUAGGACAGGAGAAACAGUGGUGCGGCCUAGUGGGUGUGAAGCAGGACAACCUGAGAUGCAGCUGGGAACAAGGGACUGUGUGGAUGUUAAAGAACAUCUCCCUGACAACGGCCUUGCAUCCUUCGCAGAAGGUCUUGGUUCUGAAAUAGUGCCAGUCAUCCCAAGUCGGGGACAGUCCCACUGAGAGGACACCUGCAAACAGGUGAGGCAGCAACAAGGGAGCGUGAGGACACCUGCCUGGUCACCCAGGGUCCCAACACAGCUGGACCUCACAGGCGGCUCCUGAGUUUGAAAGGAGCAGCAACCCAGGAGAGGAGCA